rnacentral:rRNA from 1 species
UACGUAGGGGCCUAGCGUUGUCCGGAUUUAUUGGGCGUAAAGAGCUCGUAGGCGGCUUGGUAAGUCAGGUGUGAAAUCUCCACGCUCAACGUGGAGGGGCCACCUGAUACUGCCAUGGCUUGAGUCCGGUAGGGGAGUGUGGAAUUCCCGGUGUAGCGGUGAAAUGCGCAGAUAUCGGGAGGAACACCAGCGGCGAAGGCGGCGCUCUGGGCCGGAACUGACGCUGAGGAGCGAAAGCGUGGGUAGCAAACAGG